GAUUGGAUGCUGGACAUUGUAAUAUUUUGUUGUUGGGUGACUAGAUUUUGUUUUCUUUUAGAGUGUUUUGUUUUGUAGCCAGCUAAAUAACUUGCUGGUCAGUUUUAUUCCUUCAGGGCUACAUUGGAGUUUGUCUAGAGAGGGCUCCCAGUGUCACCGUGUUCUCUUCGCUCAGGUUAGAGGGAAUUUUAGGAGUCUCCCAGUCCUUUAUAAGCACUGGGAAUAUUUCAGCUCAUUGCCCCUCUUUCCCUAGCUUCCACUUACCUUAAUCGUGUACAGUUAGUACUGAGCAGUAGACUCUCACAUGACAGAUUUCUGAAGCCAUUUCUCUGCCUUCUCAGACAAGCACCCCUCUUGUCUGGCACUUGUCAUACAUUUUACCCACUUCGGCUUCCUCAGCUCUGAUCUCUUGAUUCUGACCUCACUGAAACUGCUGUCUUCUCAUUGGGUUCCCCUCCAUUGACUGCAGGUUGGAAAUUACCUCCAGGCAGGCAUUCAAGCAGUGGAUGGCUCACCUCCUUUGUUUUUGUCCUUUCAUGUAUUACAGUCCUGUGCUGCCUGUUAUCCAAGGUCUGAAAAUUCUUGUUUGAGAAGGAGCAACUGUCAGAUGCUUUUGGAUCUUUCUCUGAAAUUAGCUUUCUGUUGUGUUUACCUCUUUGUCUAAUGCUAAUACCAUAUCAGAUUUUUUUUUUUAAAUCUUUUAAAUAUACAGAAGAGUGCACUUCCAAAUGUAUAGCUUGCUGCACUUUCGCACACUGAGCACACGUAUUUAGCUAGCGUUCAGAUCAAGAAGCAACAUCGGCAGCUCCUGUGUGCUCGCUCCUGUGUGCUCUCUCCUUUGUGCUCGCUUGUGCUCUGUCAUCCUCCGUUUUCUUCCAUGUGUAACCGCUGUCCUGACUUCUCAUAGCAUAGAUUAGAUUUGCCUGUUUCGUCCUUCAACUAGAAUCAAGCACACUUACUUGUGUCUGAUUGCUUUUAAUGUGUUUGUGAGAUUUAUCCACACUGUUGGUUGUAGUAAUUGUUUAUGAUAGUCGCUGUAUAGUAUUCCAUUUUAAGAAUAUGCCACAGUUUAAUCUGCUGUUGAUGGACAUUUAAUCAUUUUUGGUUUGGAAUUGUUAAGAAUAUUGCUGCUGCUCUAAACAUUUCAGUGAUUGUCUUCUCGUGAAUAUGUGUACUUAAUUUUUUUGAUGUGUACUUAAGAGGGAAAUUUUUAAGUCAGAGGGUAUGCAUAUAUUUAGUGUAUACUCCGUUUUUGAAGGUGUUGUGCUGAUUUUAAUUAUACCAUUUAAGUUAGUAUGUUUUAAUAUCUGGUAGAGAAAGGGACAUUAUUAGAAACAGUUGUUUUGGUUAUUCUUACAUAUUUAGCCCUUGAAAUAAAAUGUUUCUUAAAUUGGCAUUUACUUAUAUUUGUGUUGCUUUGGGAAGAAAUGAUACCUUUGUUCAUCUAUGAGUCAUGUUUGGAACUAGCUCAAAGGCCAUGGGUCCUGAUUCCUUUUUUUUUUUUUUUUUCUUGUAGAGGGGAGGUAUGGUGUCAAGAAAACAUAGUCACCAUUAUUAUGAAAAUUAAAAUAUGGAAGAGAUGAUCCCUACAUCAAUCAGCUUACAACUAGAGGCACUGACAAAUGUAUACAGAUAGCUGUAAUGUAAGGUUAAAAAUCUGUAAGAGCCUGAUUUUAGAAUUCACCAGCUCCUCAGAAGUUUGGCGAAAUAUGAGUUAUUAAGCCUACGCUCAGAUCAAGGUAGCAGCUAGACUGGUGUGACAACCUGUUUUUAAUCAGUGACUCAAAGCUGUGAUCACCCUGAUGUCACCGAAUGGCCACAGCUUGUAAAAGAGAGUUACAGUGGAGGUAAAAGGAGUGGCUUGCAGGAUGGAGAAGCUGCACCAGUGUUAUUGGAAGUGAGCCACCAUUUGAAUUUGCUAGCUCAUGCUGCAGUAUUCAGAUUAGUGGGCGUUUUGUGAUCAUAUUUUCUGCGAUUCAAAUCAAGACCUAAAAUUGAGACUCUUCUAAGAUUUGCUUUUUAUUAUCUAAUGUUACUUGGUUAUUGUUUCAGUUUUAAAAUUUCUUUUCUGACUUGUUAUUCUGACACACUUUAGGAUAACCUAAGUCAAUAGUUUAAUACAAAAAUUUCCCUUUGGUUAUAUGUUUUGAAUUAGAUUAUAUGUUCUGCAUUUACAAGCACAUACAGGAUUCUUAUUUCCAGCAACUUGGCAGUAAAAGAAUAAGUAAACUCUUCAGGAGCCACAGUCAAGCUUGGGAACUAUUACUAGGUGGUAUAUAUUUCAUAGUUUAUGUUUGUUUGUUUCCAAGACAAGGUCUCACUCCGUUGCCCAUGCUGGAGUGCAGUGGCACGAUCACAGCUCACUGCAGCUUUGACCUCCUGGGCUCAAGUGACCCUCCCACCUCAGCCUUCCAAGUAGCUGGGACUAAAGGCGCCCACCACCACACCCGGCUAAGAGACGAGGUUUCAUCAUGUUGCUCAGGCUAAUCUUGAACUCCUGAGCUCAAGUGAUCCUUAUGCCUUGACCUCCCAAAGUGCUGAGAUUACAGACAUAAACCACUACACCUGGCGUAUUUCAUAGUUUUGAGAGUUUGAAUUCUAAACUUGGGAUUUUUUUGGUAACUUAUUUAGACUAUUCUAGAAAUAUACUGUUAUUAGGAUGAGUAGAAAUUUAUUCAGACAUAAAUUAUUAAUAUUCACUGCAAGAAAAAUGUCUGCUAGUUCUGUAUAUAUUCAUUUUUCUCUUGAUUAAAAAACAAUUUGCAAUUUGAAUAGAACAACUUUGCUAUGUUUAAUAGACCCAGGACAGAUUUAUUUUAAGGUAAUAAUCUUUCAGUCCUUGUCCUUCUUCUAUACUGAAUUGGUUUACUUAGUUUGUCUUAUCAGUGGUUUUUAAUAGCCUACUUUAAUAUAUGUAAAAAGUAGUAAUUAAUAUUUUACAGUUUGGUGACAUUUUGAUGCCAAAGUUCACAUAUUCUCUUGCUUAGGAAACAGAAAUUGGGAAGACAGAUAUAGUUAUCAUUUGAUAAUGUAUUUAAAUUCUAUCCCAUUUCAGGAUCUCAAAACUUUGUAACAGUUACAUAUUGUACUUCUAAGACUUAGAUUUGUUUUCCUUCUUGUGUCUUACCUUUUUGCAGUAAUAUUUUUAUUUUCCUAUCAUCAUGUCCUCAUUUUUUCCCCUCUCUUCUCUUUCCUUGUUAAUUUUGAAAGUUUUGCUGCCUACGUGUUUGAAAGCUUCUAAUCUGCCUCUCUUCCCUCAGUGCCAGCAGGUUUAUUUUUUGUUUUGCAAGCCAGCUCUGCCUCCUUACAGUAUGACAUCUGAUGCUGGAGGGUCGCACUUUCAAAAAUGAGUCAGCUGGUACAUGGGGUUAUCAUCAAUUUUUAGCUCUUCUGUCUGGGAGAUACAAGUUUGGAAGCAAUCUGGGGGUACUUACCCACAGGCUGGCGGAGACCAGAUCAGGAGAACCUCAGUCUGACGACAUUGAAGCUAGCCGAAUGAAGCGAGCAGCUGCAAAGCAUCUAAUAGAACGCUACUACCACCAGUUAACUGAGGGCUGUGGAAAUGAAGCCUGCACGAAUGAGUUUUGUGCUUCCUGUCCAACUUUUCUUCGUAUGGAUAAUAAUGCAGCAGCUAUUAAAGCCCUCGAGCUUUAUAAGAUUAAUGCAAAACUCUGUGAUCCUCAUCCCUCCAAGAAAGGAGCAAGCUCAGCUUACCUUGAGAACUCGAAAGGUGCCCCCAACAACUCCUGCUCUGAGAUAAAAAUGAACAAGAAAGGCACUAGAAUUGAUUUUAAAGAUGUGACUUACUUAACAGAAGAGAAGGUAUAUGAAAUUCUUGAAUUAUGUAGAGAAAGAGAGGAUUAUUCCCCUUUAAUUCGUGUUAUUGGAAGAGUUUUUUCUAGUGCUGAGGCAUUGGUACAGAGCUUCCGGAAAGUUAAACAACACACCAAGGAAGAACUGAAAUCUCUUCAAGCAAAAGAUGAAGACAAGGAUGAAGAUGAAAAGGAAAAAGCUGCAUGUUCUGCUGCUGCUAUGGAAGAAGACUCAGAAGCAUCUUCCUCAAGGAUAGGUGAUAGCUCACAGGGAGACAACAAUUUGCAAAAAGUAGGCCCUGAUGAUGUGUCUGUGGAUAUUGAUGCCAUUAGAAGGGUCUACACCAGAUUGCUGUCUAAUGAAAAAAUUGAAACUGCCUUUCUCAAUGCACUUGUAUAUUUGUCACCUAACGUGGAAUGUGACUUGACGUAUCACAAUGUAUACUCUCGAGAUCCUAAUUAUCUGAAUUUGUUCAUUAUCGUAAUGGAGAAUAGAAAUCUCCACAGUCCUGAAUAUCUGGAAAUGGCUUUGCCAUUAUUUUGCAAAGCAAUGAGCAAGCUACCCCUUGCAGCCCAAGGAAAACUGAUCAGACUGUGGUCUAAAUACAAUGCAGACCAGAUUCGGAGAAUGAUGGAGACAUUUCAGCAACUUAUUACUUACAAAGUCAUAAGCAAUGAAUUUAACAGUCGAAAUCUAGUGAACGAUGAUGAUGCCAUUGUUGCUGCUUCGAAGUGCUUGAAAAUGGUUUACUAUGCAAAUGUAGUAGGAGGGGAAGUGGACACAAAUCACAAUGAAGAAGAUGAUGAAGAGCCCAUCCCUGAAUCCAGUGAGCUGACACUUCAGGAGCUUUUGGGAGAAGAAAGAAGAAACAAGAAAGGUCCUCGAGUGGACCCCCUGGAAACUGAACUUGGUGUUAAAACCCUGGAUUGUCGAAAACCACUUAUCCCUUUUGAAGAGUUUAUUAAUGAACCACUGAAUGAGGUUCUAGAAAUGGAUAAAGAUUAUACUUUUUUCAAAGUAGAAACAGAGAACAAAUUCUCUUUUAUGACAUGUCCCUUUAUAUUAAAUGCUGUCACAAAGAAUUUGGGAUUAUAUUAUGACAAUAGAAUUCGCAUGUACAGUGAACGAAGAAUCACUGUUCUCUACAGCUUAGUUCAAGGACAGCAGUUGAAUCCAUAUUUGAGACUCAAAGUUAGACGUGACCAUAUCAUAGAUGAUGCACUUGUCCGGCUAGAGAUGAUCGCUAUGGAAAAUCCUGCAGACUUGAAGAAGCAGUUGUAUGUGGAAUUUGAAGGAGAACAAGGAGUUGAUGAAGGAGGUGUUUCCAAAGAAUUUUUUCAGCUGGUUGUGGAGGAAAUCUUCAAUCCAGAUAUUGGUAUGUUCACAUACGAUGAAUCUACAAAAUUGUUUUGGUUUAAUCCGUCUUCUUUUGAAACUGAGGGUCAGUUUACUCUGAUUGGCAUAGUACUGGGUCUGGCUAUUUACAAUAACUGUAUACUGGAUGUACAUUUUCCCAUGGUUGUCUACAGAAAGCUAAUGGGGAAAAAAGGAACUUUUCGUGACUUGGGAGACUCUCACCCAGUUCUAUAUCAGAGUUUAAAAGAUUUAUUGGAGUAUGAAGGGAAUGUGGAAGACGACAUGAUGAUCACUUUCCAGAUAUCACAGACAGAUCUUUUUGGUAACCCAAUGAUGUAUGAUCUAAAGGAAAAUGGUGAUAAAAUUCCAAUUACAAAUGAAAACAGGAAGGAAUUUGUCAAUCUUUAUUCUGACUACAUUCUCAAUAAAUCAGUAGAAAAACAGUUCAAGGCUUUUCGGAGAGGUUUUCAUAUGGUGACCAAUGAAUCUCCCUUAAAGUACUUAUUCAGACCAGAAGAAAUUGAAUUGCUUAUAUGUGGAAGCCGGAAUCUAGAUUUCCAAGCAUUAGAAGAAACUACAGAAUAUGACGGUGGCUAUACCAGGGACUCUGUUCUGAUUAGGGCCGAUCCAGUAUUGGUGGGACUCAGAAGCUGCAUAUACAGAGGGCUGACUUUCAUACACACCAGGUCCGCAGGGCCAACUGCGGAACUUGAGUGUGCAUGGAUUUUGGUAUACACAAGCAGUCCGGGAACCAAUCCCUGUCACGUAUACCAAGAGAUGGCUGGAGUUCUGGGAAAUCGUUCAUUCAUUUACAGAUGAACAGAAAAGACUCUUCUUGCAGUUUACAACGGGCACAGACAGAGCACCUGUGGGAGGACUAGGAAAAUUAAAGAUGAUUAUAGCCAAAAAUGGCCCAGACACAGAAAGGUUACCUACAUCUCAUACUUGCUUUAAUGUGCUUUUACUUCCGGAAUAUUCAAGCAAAGAAAAACUUAAAGAGAGAUUGUUGAAGGCCAUCACGUAUGCCAAAGGAUUUGGCAUGCUGUAAAACAAAACAAAAUAAAACAAAAAAAAGGAAGAAAAAAAAAAGAAAAAAUUUAAAAAAUUUUAAAAAUAUAACAAGAGGGAUAAAUGUUUGGUGGUGAUAGUGUCCCAGUACAAAAAGGCUGUAAGAUAGUGAACCACAGUAGUCACCUCUGUCUGUGCCUCCCUUCUUUCUUGGGGACAUGUGGGCUGGAACAGCAGAUUUCAGCUACAUAUAUGAACAAAUCCUUUAUUAUUAUUAUAAUUAUUUUUUUGCGUGAAAGUGUUACAUAUUCUUUCACUUGUAUGUACAGAGAGGUUUUUCUGAAUAUUUAUUUUAAGGGUUAAAUCACUUUUGCUUGUGUUUAUUACUGCUUGAGGUUGAGCCUUUUGAGUAUUUAAAAAAUAUAUACCAACAGAACUACUCUCCCAAGAAAAAUAUUGCCACCAUUAUUUGUAGACCAUGUAACCUUCAAGUAUGUGCUACUUUUUUGUCCCUGUAUCUAACUCAAAUCAGGAACUGUAUUUUUUUUUUUAAUGAUUUGCUUUUGAAACUUGAAGUCUUUGAAACAGUGUGAUGCAAUUACUGCUGUUCUAGCCCCCAAAGAGUUUUCUGUGCAAAAUCUUGAGAAUCAAUAAAGAUGGAAGGGAGAAAUUGGAAUGUUUUAACUGCAGCCCUCAGAACUUUAGUAACAGCACAACAAAUUAAAAAACAACUCAUGCCACAGUAUGUUGUCUUCAUGUGUCUUGCAAUGAACUGUUUCAGUAGCCAAUCCUCUUUCUUAGUAUAUGAAAGGACAGGGAUUUUUGUUCUUGUUGUUCUUGUUAUUUUAAGUUUACUGGGGAAAGUGCAUUUGGCCAAAUGAAAUGGUAGUCAAGCCUAUUGCAACAAAGUUAGGAAGUUUGUUGUUUAUUAUAAACAAAAAGCAUGUGAAAGUGCACUUAAGAUAGAGUUUUUAUUAAUUACUUAUUACCUAGAUUUUAAAUAGACAAUCCAAAGUCUCCCCUUCGUGUUGCCAUCAUCUUGUUGAAUCAGCCAUUUUAUCGAGGCACGUGAUCAGUGUUGCAACAUAAUGAAAAAGAUGGCUACUGUGCCUUGUGUUACUUAAUCAUACAGUAAGCUGACCUGGAAAUGAAUGAAACUAUUACUCCUAAGAAUUACAUUGUAUAGCCCCACAGGUUAAAUUUAAUUCAAAACAUGUUAAACAUUACUUUCAUGUACUAUGGAAAAGUACAAGUAGGUUUACAUUACUGGAUUUUCGGAAGUAAGUAGUUUCCCCUUUCCUAGUCUUCUGUGUAUGUGAUGUUAAUUUCUUUUAUUGCAUUAUAAAAUAAAAGGAUUAUGUAUUUUUAACUAAGGUGAGACAUUGAUAUAUCCUUUUGCUACAAGCUAUAGCUAAUGUGCUGAGCUUGUGCCUUGGUGAUUGUUUUAACUGAUUACUGUAGAUCAACCUGAUGAUUUGUUUGAAAUUGGCAGGAAAAAUGCAGCUUUCAAAUCAUUGGGGGGAGAAAAAGGAUGUCUUUCAGGAUUAUUUUAAUUUUUUCAUAAUUGAGACAGAACUGUUAUGUACCAUAAUGCUAAAUAAAACUGUGGCACUUUUCACCAUAAUUUAGUGGAAAAAGAAGACAAUGCUUUCCAUAUUGUGAUAAGGUAACAUGGGGUUUUUCUGGGCCAGCCUUUAGAACACUGUUAAGGUACGUACGCUACCUUGAUGAAAGGGACCUUCGUGCAACUGUAGUCAUCUUAAAGGCUUCUCAUCCACUGUGCUUCUUAAUGUGUAAUUAAAGUGAGGAGAAAUUAAAUACUCUGAGGGCGUUUUAUAUAAUAAAUUCGUGAAGAAAUGUGUGCUCUUCAGUUCUCAAGUUUUAUUAUUACGGUACUGAAGUUCUAUGAUUGUAAUAAUGUAUCCAUAUGACAAAUUUUAAAGUGAUAAUUGAAAUAGGUUAUCAGCUACAGAAUUCACAUCAAGUAGACUUCUAACAGAGUCACAAUGAACCUACCCUUAAAAUUUUAGAGGGAAAAAAUCAUCAGUUGCACAGACUAGCUGCUCUAGCUUGCUUAAUUAUGCUAGGCAUGUUGUCACUCCUCUGACUUUUGCUGCAUGGAAUGUCCCGGAACAAUAAGGAAGAGGAAAACAGAGAAGUUUUGACGAUAGUGGAUACUUCCUCUACCCCAAAUGUUAUGUUAUAAAAGUACUUUUUUGCCCAGGUACUCUAUUAUAUAGUUUGGUUUUCUUUGAAUUAGACCUCAAUCUCCGGGAAGCUCUGGAGGGAAAAAAAGGAACCAUAAACUAAAGUAACUGGUUUUCCAAAUAAAUGCUUUUUUUUAACUUUCAUUAUAGAACAUUUCAAACAUAAAACAUGAAAACAGCCUGCAGCCAAACUUUUCUGGACCUUGGCAGCUCCAGCAAAUGAGCUGGUCAUCCUAACCUUGGUUUCCUGAGAUAACUACUUUUGGGGAUGCUUGCUUGUAUAGGGAGAUCCAUAUCAAAAAGAAACUUGAAAAUGAGGCUUCAAACAGACCUUGCUGUUAUUCAUCCCUCCUCGGUACAGACAUUCUGUUAGAACAGAUGGUUGUAAUGGGGCAGCAUCACUCCCUGUUCCCAUUAAAAACAUGACCCUUCUGAGAUUCCAGGCCCCUUUGAGGAAUUUCCCCAAGAAUUCCAUACAAACUGUCAGAGAAAGAAAUGUCGUCCCAAGACCAGUUCCUGUGUACUCUUGAUCCCUUUACCUGCUUACCGCAAUUUUUUUUCCUGACUUUCCACCAGUGUCUAUCUAAGGGCCAUCUGUACCCCUCCCACACUUCCAUGGGCCACUGUAUAAUCCAAAACACACCUUCCAUUUGCUCCCUCAUUUGGUUGCCUCCUUUUACCUCAACAGUGUUAGUGUGUAAAGAAUUGCCUGGGGAGGGUAGAGGGUUUUACAAGUACAGAGUCCCAAGUCUUUUUCUCCCCUCCCUGUUAGUGGGUUGGCAUUUGUUAACAGCCACUGCAAGAUUUCGAUGCAGGUGUGGGGUAGAUAUCACUGUGAAAGGCUACUAAUCCAUGACAGUUUCACUGAAAGUACAGUCUUCAAGGAUCCUUAUAACCUCCUCAUUGCCAAAAUCAGUAACACCUAUCUAUAACCUUGACUGUACCCUAACUUGAGCUGUUGCUUCUCUGGCUGCUUAUUUUUCCUUCCCAAUUUACCCAGAUUUUGGAUGGAUACUCCUCCAGUUCUGCUUAAAGUCCUUACCUGUUCUUGCCCAGUUCUCUCUAGUCAACCUCAGGCACUCCCAAAGAUUCUUCCCCAAUUCUGUAUCUUCUACUCAGACCUCUGUCUCCAGGAUUUCUUCCCGCUACCUCAAAGUCAGUAGGCCUAAAAACAAAAUUCUUCAUCUUCCGUCUCUGUCGACCAUUCUUUGUUUCUUUUUACGAAAUGUAACCUUCACCCCAAUCAUCAAAAUCUCUCAUUCCUCAAUUGUCACAGGUUGUCAAUUCUUUCCCCGUAAACCCCUCCUGUCAUUCCUCCUUUAUGUAUACUGCCCUUAGAGGUCCUGAUCCUCUGACUCACCUGGACAUUCUUAGCAGCUGCCUAAUUUAAUUCCCUGACUCUGAUCUCCCUCUUCCAAUCCUUUUCAUUGUGCUAGAACACCAUCUUGCUAAUUUUAAUAUUCUCUGCGUUCAGUGCCUCCACAAAUUGCCCCCUCACUGAUCUUUCCAAUUUGGCCGUGGGUUACACACUUUUCUCCCUGCAUUCCUACCCAGCAUCUUGUCAUAUUUCUCAAAUACUCUUCAUGACCACAUUUUUAAAGUACCUCAUCCAUGAAGACGUCAUCAACCCCCAGAGUGCCUCCAGUGCUUCCAUGGUAGCACAGCAUGGUGGGGUACAUCUCUUAGUUGAACAGUGAGGAGUCACUGGAAUUCUUGUAGGGUCUGCUCUUGAUACCCCUUCCACAUUUCAGUUAAGGAAUUUUUUUUUUUCUUUUAAUAACCUUUGCCUGGAGUGUAAGUAAAUUCAUGAUGGAUAUUGUCCCUUUUUUAAAAAAAAAAAACCAUUUUGCCUUUCACAUGUUAUUGCCUCCAUUUUUCUGUUAUCUUGUCAGUGUUGCCACCUAAAUGAUUGAAAAUGACCCAGCAUGCAGUAGAAUGUAGUGAAGCUUCCUAUUUCAUCCAUUUUUUUCAUAAGUGCAUUGGUAUCUAUAUAUCCAUGUGCCCAAUCACCAGUUGUUGAAAAGACUAUUUUAAUUUCCCCAUGAAUGGUCCUGGGACCCUUGUGAAAGAACAGUUGACCAUAAAUGUAAGACUUUCUGGAUUCUUAGUCUUAACUCUGUUGUCAUAUAUGUCUAUCCUUAUACCAGCACCGCACUGUCUUGAUUGCUGUAGCUUUGUACUAAGUUUGGAUUUGGGAUGUGCAAGUCUGCCAGUUUUUUUUCCCCCCAAAAUCAUUUGUCUAUUUUCAGUCCCUUGCAUUUCAUACGAAUUUUAGGAUCAUUGUGUCAAUUCCUGCAAAGCUGGGAUCUUGAUAGGGAUUUAGUUGAAUUGAUAAAUUUGAGAAAUAACUGCUAUUUUAAUGGUAUUAGGUUUUCUAUUCCAUGACUGUGGGAUGUCUUUGCAUUUGCUUAGGUCUUUAGUUUAUUUCAGUGAUGUUUUAUAGAUUUCAGUGUACAAGUCUUGACUUCUUUAAUUUUUUUCUAAGUAUUUUAUUGAUGCCACUUUAUAUGAUUAUUUUCUAAUUUUUAUUUUUGUAUUCAUCACUGGUCUUAGUAAUAAAAUUGAUUUUUGUAUGUUGAUCAUGUGUAUUGUAGCUUUUCUAAAAUUCUAUUUUUUUGGUCACUUAGUAUUUUUUGCUUAUGGGAUCAUGCAUCUGUGAACAGAAAUACCUUCUUCCUUUCCAGUCUAGAUUCUUAUUAUUUCAUUUUCUUGUCUUAGUGUACUGGCUGGCACCUCCAGUACAGUAUUGGAUAGAAGUGACAAGAGCAGACAUCUUUUUCUUGUUCCUGAUUUUAGGAGGAAAGCAUUCAGUCUUUCAGCAUUGAGUAUGAUGUUAGCUGUGGGUUUGCAUCAAGUUGAGGAAAUUCUUUUAUUAAACCUAGUUUACUGAGUGUUUUUUAAUCAAAAAAAAAAAAAAAAAGGAGGGGCUAUGGAUUUUGUCAAAUGCUUCUUCUGUAUCAAGAUUGUCAUGUUGUUUUGUCCUUUAUUCUAUUAAUAUGUUGUAUUAAUGGACUUUUGUAUAUUGAAUUAACCUUGCAUUCCUGGGAUAAUCUCAGUUGUCCAUGCUACAUAAACCUUGUUCUAUGCUGCUA